AUGUCACUUCUUAUUUAUUCAUCAUUCCUAACAGUAGCAGUUCUCUUAAGUGGUGUUAAUUGUGCAGACCAUGUCUCACAAAAGCCGGUUACAGUAGCACAGCUCGAAGCAGAUUCUGUGACUAUUCAUUUCAGCUAUACAAUUGCAGGUGCUCAAUAUUCCCUACAGUUGUACCGCCAAGAUCCAGGUACACCUCCGAUAUUCUUGAUCUACAUCCCUACAUAUGAAGAGGUCGUGAGAGCGAAAGAUAUUGGUGAUCGAUUCUCUGCAUCUCUGGACAUUUCAAACAAGGAGGGAAAUUUCACCAUCAGUAGUCUCCAACUGUCUGACAGCGCGGUGUAUUACUGUGCGCUGAAAGACACAUUGACUGGAAGAAGAGAGAGCCUCGUACAUAAACACCGCUGCAAUGGAAUGACGUGCCAAUUAUG